AUGGAACAUUUCACCCUACCAGAUCAUUUCACAGAAGCAGAUGUGCAGAAAGUCAAGGACGCUGCUCUUAGGAAGAUGGCGGUUGCAUUCAAGAACCACAAGAAUCGUGAAUGGGACAAGUACGUCAAGGGAGGAAGGAAGACUCCAGUAUUCGCGGGAACACUAGAGAACCAACGUGCUCAUUGGGAUGAUUUCGUGAAAUUCAAGGAUUCAGAAUUAGCUAAGGAACGGUCAACAAUAAACAAGAAGAAUGCCGAAAAAAGGAUAAGUUCCAUAAGCUGGGGCCAGGUGGCUUGUGUGGCAAUGCCUAAGUGGGAUAAGUCUGAGAAAGAGAUGGAGGAUGCAGGUGCCACUCCGGUUACUAAGAGCUGCCCCCCCAGGGUCAGGACUUGGUUCUAUGCGCAUGGGGGGGAGUUGGACCCGAAGACAGGCAAUGUUUCGACGAGGGCAAGUCUGAAGGGAGCCGACGAUGCGAUACUUGUUGCAAUAGAAGAGGCAUGA
rnacentral:rRNA from 1 species